AGCUUUGUGCAGUGGCAGUAUCAUAGCCAAUGAGGUUUAUCUGAGGCGCGAUUAUUGCUAAUUGAAAAAGUAAACCACAUUUGUCUCACAUAUUUAUGUCUUCCUUACAGCAAGG
rnacentral:snRNA from 1 species